rnacentral:rRNA from 1 species
UGAGGAAUAUUGGUCAAUGGGCGCAAGCCUGAACCAGUCAUCCCGCGUGAAGGAAGAAGGCGCUAUGCGUUGUAAACUUCUUUUCCAGGGAAAUAAAAUUUCGUACGUGUACGGAACUGAAGGUACCCUGGGAAUAAGCAUCGGCUAACUCCGUGCCAGCAGCCGCGGUAAUACGGAGGAUGCAAGCGUUAUCCGGAUUUAUUGGGUUUACAGGGUGCGCAGGCGGCAAAAUAAGUCAGUGGUGAAAUCCUGCAGCUUAACUGUAGAAUGGCCGUUGAUACUGUUAGUCUUGAGUGUGGUCAAGGUAGGCGGAAUGUGUAAUGUAGCGGUGAAAUGCUUAGAUAUUACACAGAACACCGAUUGCGAAGGCAGCUUACUGGGCCAUUACUGACGCUCAUGCACGAAAGCGUGGGGAUCGAACA